UAUCGUUUGCCACGUCCAGUCACGAAAAAGACCUUACAACACCUGCAAGCACGUGCAGCCUCAAGUUCUGCAGAGUAAAACCAGCCUGCAACUAGCUGGAAUUUCUCCCUGCCGUCCUUUCAAAUUCUUUCAAACAACUUGCAAUAGCAGUAAUAAUCAUCUGACACAGUGUGACCAAGAUCCCUUUUGAUACUUUGCGGAACAGAAGAAAACACCUAAAGAAACCAGACGGAGAAGAAAUGGUUUGAUGACUAUACAAGGCACGACAACCUCUGUUGAUCUCGCUUUCCAGCAAGUGGACGUCUACACCCCAUCAUCCUUGAGAAUGAUGCCGGCAAUUGUAAAAAGAAAAAUUCACACGUCUUUCCAUGAG